rnacentral:rRNA from 1 species
AAAUUGAAGAGUUUGAUCAUGGCUCAGAUUGAACGCUGGCGGCAGGCCUAACACAUGCAAGUCGAACGGUAACAGGAAGCAGCUUGCUGCUUCGCUGACGAGUGGCGGACGGGUGAGUAAUGUCUGGGAAACUGCCUGAUGGAGGGGGAUAACUACUGGAAACGGUGGCUAAUACCGCAUAACGUCGCAAGACCAAAGAGGGGGACCUUCGGGCCUCUUGCCAUCAGAUGUGCCCAGAUGGGAUUAGCUUGUUGGUGAGGUAACGGCUCACCAAGGCGACGAUCCCUAGCUGGUCUGAGAGGAUGACCAGCCACACUGGAACUGAGACACGGUCCAGACUCCUACGGGAGGCAGCAGUGGGGAAUAUUGCACAAUGGGCGCAAGCCUGAUGCAGCCAUGCCGCGUGUAUGAAGAAGGCCUUCGGGUUGUAAAGUACUUUCAGCGGGGAGGAAGGUGUUGUGGUUAAUAACCGCAGCAAUUGACGUUACCCGCAGAAGAAGCACCGGCUAACUCCGUGCCAGCAGCCGCGGUAAUACGGAGGGUGCAAGCGUUAAUCGGAAUUACUGGGCGUAAAGCGCACGCAGGCGGUCUGUCAAGUCGGAUGUGAAAUCCCCGGGCUCAACCUGGGAACUGCAUUCGAAACUGGCAGGCUUGAGUCUUGUAGAGGGGGGUAGAAUUCCAGGUGUAGCGGUGAAAUGCGUAGAGAUCUGGAGGAAUACCGGUGGCGAAGGCGGCCCCCUGGACAAAGACUGACGCUCAGGUGCGAAAGCGUGGGGAGCAAACAGGAUUAGAUACCCUGGUAGUCCACGCCGUAAACGAUGUCUACUUGGAGGUUGUGCCCUUGAGGCGUGGCUUCCGGAGCUAACGCGUUAAGUAGACCGCCUGGGGAGUACGGCCGCAAGGUUAAAACUCAAAUGAAUUGACGGGGGCCCGCACAAGCGGUGGAGCAUGUGGUUUAAUUCGAUGCAACGCGAAGAACCUUACCUGGUCUUGACAUCCACAGAACUUUCCAGAGAUGGAUUGGUGCCUUCGGGAACUGUGAGACAGGUGCUGCAUGGCUGUCGUCAGCUCGUGUUGUGAAAUGUUGGG